AUUGAACGNGGGCGGCGUGCUUAACACAUGCAAGUCGAACGUGAAAGUCNUUCGGGGCGAGUAAAGUGGCGCACGGGUGAGUAACGCGUGGAUAAUCUACCCUUAAGAUGGGGAUAACGGCUGGAAACGGUCGCUAAUACCGAAUACGCUCCCGAUUUUAUCGUUGGGGGGAAAGAUGGCCUCUGCUUGCAAGCUAUCGCUUAAGGAUGAGUCCGCGUCCCAUUAGCUAGUUGGCGGGGUAACGGCCCACCAAGGCGACGAUGGGUAGCCGGUCUGAGAGGAUGACCGGCCACACUGGAACUGGAACACGGUCCAGACUCCUACGGGAGGCAGCAGUGGGGAAUAUUGCGCAAUGGGCGAAAGCCUGACGCAGCGACGCCGCGUGAGGGAUGAAGGUUCUCGGAUCGUAAACCUCUGUCAGGGGGGAAGAAACCCCCUCGUGUGAAUAAUGCGAGGGCUUGACGGUACCCCCAAAGGAAGCACCGGCUAACUCCGUGCCAGCAGCCGCGGUAAUACGGAGGGUGCAAGCGUUAAUCGGAAUCACUGGGCGUAAAGCGCACGUAGGCGGCUUGGUAAGUCAGGGGUGAAAUCCCACAGCCCAACUGUGGAACUGCCUUUGAUACUGCCAGGCUUGAGUACCGGAGAGGGUGGCGGAAUUCCAGGUGUAGGAGUGAAAUCCGUAGAUAUCUGGAGGAACACCGGUGGCGAAGGCGGCCACCUGGAC
rnacentral:rRNA from 1 species